rnacentral:rRNA from 1 species
GAUGAACGCUGGCGGCGUGCCUAAUACAUGCAAGUCGAGCGAACAGACGAGGAGCUUGCUCCUCUGACGUUAGCGGCGGACGGGUGAGUAACACCUGGAUAACCUACCUAUAAGACUGGGAUAACUUCGGGACACCGGAGCUCAUACCGUAUAACAUGAUGAACCGCAUGGUUCAACAGUGAAAGACGGUCUUGCUGUCACUUAUAGAUGGAUCCGCGCCGCAUUAGCUAGUUGGUAAGGUAACGGCUUACCAAGGCAACGAUGCGUAGCCGACCUGUGAGGGGGAUCGGCCACACGGGAACUGAGACACGGUCCAGACUCCUAGGGGAGGAAGCAGUAGGGAAUCUUCCGAAAGGGGCGAAAGCCUGACGGAGCAACGCCGCGGGGGUGAAGAAGGUCUUCGAAUCGUAAAACUCUGUUAUUAGGGAAGAACAAAUGUGUAAGUAACUAUGCACGUCGUGACGGUACCUAAUCAGAAAGCCACGGCUAACUACGUG